rnacentral:lncRNA from 10 species
GUACUUAAGGCGCGGCCACCGCGGCUGCGGCAGUGCGCCCAACAGCGGACUCCGAGACCAGCGGAUCUCGGCAAACCCUCUUUCUCGACCACCCACCUACCAUUCUUGGAACCAUGGCGGCAGUGGCGGCGGCCUCGGCUGAACUGCUCAUCAUCGGCUGGUACAUCUUCCGCGUGCUGCUGCAGGUGUUCAGGUACUCCCUGCAGAAGCUGGCAUACACGGUGUCGCGGACCGGGCGGCAGGUGUUGGGGGAGCGCAGGCAGCGAGCCCCCAACUGAGGCCCCAGCUCCCAGCCCUGGGCGGCCGUAUCAUCAGGUGCUCCUGUGCAUCUCGGCCAGCACGGGAGCCAGUGCCGCGCAGGAAUGUGGGGUCCCCUGUGUUCCCUCGCCAGAGGAGCACUUGGCAAGGUCAGUGAGGGGCCAGUAGACCCCCGGAGAAGCAGUACCGACAAUGACGAAGAUACCAGAUCCCUUCCCAACCCCUUUGCACCGGUCCCACUAAGGGGCAGGGUCGAGAGAGGAGGGGGGAUAGGGGGAGCAGACCCCUGAGAUCUGGGCAUAGGCACCGCAUUCUGAUCUGGACAAAGUCGGGACAGCACCAUCCCAGCCCCGAAGCCAGGGCCAUGCCAGCAGGCCCCACCAUGGAAAUCAAAACACCGCACCAGCCAGCAGAAUGGACAUUCUGACAUCGCCAGCCGACGCCCUGAAUCUUGGUGCAGCACCAACCGCGUGCCUGUGUGGCGGGACUGGAGGGCACAGUUGAGGAAGGAGGGUGGUUAAGAAAUACAGUGGGGCCCUCUCGCUGUCCCUUGCCCAGGGCACUUGCAUUCCAGCCUCGCUGCAUUUGCUCUCUCGAUUCCCCUUUCCUCCUCACUGCCUCCCAAGCCCACCCUACUCCAAAAUAAUGUGUCACUUGAUUUGGAACUAUUCAAGCAGUAAAAGUAAAUGAAUCCCACCUUUACUAAAACACUUUCUCUGAACCCCCCUUGCCCCUCACUGAUCUUGCUUUUCCCUGGUCUCAUGCAGUUGUGGUCAAUAUUGUGGUAAUCGCUAAUUGUACUGAUUGUUUAAGUGUGCAUUAGUUGUGUCUCCCCAGCUAGAUUGUAAGCUCCUGGAGGACAGGGACCACCUCUACAAAAAAUAAAAAAAGUACCUCCCCUGUCUCGCACAGUGUCCCAGGACCCUGCGGUGCAGUAGAGGCGCACCAAAA